UACAGAGGUGGCAAGCGUUGUUCGGAAUUACUGGGCGUAAAGGGCGCGUAGGCGGUUCGUUAAGUCCUGUGUGAAAUCCCCCGGCUCAACUGGGGAACUGCACAGGAAACUAGCGGGCUUGAGUUCGGGAGAGGGAAGCGGAAUUCCGGGUGUAGCGGUGAAAUUCGUAGAUAUUCGCAAGAACACCAGUGGCGAAGGCGGCUCACUGGCUCGGUACUGACGCUGAGGUGCGAAAGCGUGGGGAGCAAACAGG
rnacentral:rRNA from 1 species